UUAUUGGGAUCCCAAUGUACAAAUUGUUGCAUUUUUUUCGCUUAAAUGUGUUGCUUUUACAUUGAAUUAUUUGUGGAAAAUAUUUAGUGUAAUGUUAGGGUUAUCUGUACGCAUACGGCGACUAUACAGUAAGAGCGAUGAAUUCAGUCGCCAUGCGCAAGAAUAUCUCUCUCACUUCGCUCUUUCUAUGUCAUCGAUUACGUCAGUGCGUGCCGCACGCUGUGAAACCUUUCAGCAUUACCGUUCUACAUAUAUGUCGGGUCGCAACACGUUUUCGCAAGUCAUCGCCGCGUCCUUUGUGGACGUGGCGGUUGUAGUAAGAACACGCAGCUCUGAAGUGAAAGAAGUAUCACCGCACUAUUUUAUGAAUUUAAGUCAACUCAUACAAAUAUGCGUGUAGUACAUCUGAUUUUCUCAAAAUAAUUGUUGCAGUGAUUUAAAAAAACGCUUUGAAGUAAAUUAACAGGAAAUUCCUUCCCCACCGGUAAACAUACUUGAACGUGGUUCUACUUUCAGAACAACAUAGACAUAGGUGAUUGUUUCUCGAACGAAAUUCUGCUGAUUAUCGACUGCACCGCUGCAAACACCUGGGUGGAGAUAGACGCUGUGAGGCUGAAAGGCUACCAGAAGCCGUGGAGUCGUCUUGCAAAACGUGAGCAUGUGAAUGAAGUGCUAGAAGAUGAGGAGGACAAGGCCGUUACAGCCGUUGAGUCCGCAGCAGCAAAGAUGAGCAUCAAGCAGCUACUCGCGCACGUUAGGAAAUAGACUGGAAAUCCGACUACGCUACCCCUACGACGACAACGCCAACUUGAAAAGUGAAGUUAUGAAAAAGAACAUGCUUAUGCUAUAAUCCAUCUUCAACAAACAUCUUGUACACAAGCUUUGUGUCUGGUGUUGUGUUAAUGCCCCCGGUAGGAUGGCAUUAAGCAGUUGAACUGUCCGUCAGUUCGUCUAUCAGUCUGUCAGUCUGUUCGUCCGUCCGAAAACUUUAACAUUGGCUAUAACUUUUGCAAUAAUGAAGAUAGCAACUUGGUAUUUGGCAUGCAUGUGUAUUUCAUGAAACUGCACAUUGUGAGUGGUGAAAGGUUAAGGUAAAGAUCAACCUUCGAGGUCAAAAGUAAAAAAAUACAAUGCAAGGGAAGUAAUAAAAUUUAAAAUAUUUCAGUAAACAAUAAAUAGCUAGAAAUUGCAGUUUUCAUUCAAAAUUCGUCCCAACUUUCGUGAGUCUAACAUCUGAUUAGGAAGGAGUGCUGGGACACACUCCGGGUCCUCACCUAAUGCAGCCUCUGGCGCGGAGGGACCUCAUAAACAUUGUAAUACACACACAGGGGCAUUGGUUUCUGACGAACACAUCUCUUGUUUAUAAAUAAAAUUGCAUUUGUAUACCUGUUUGUGUUCUAUUAUUUACCUUUUACAUGUUUGAGAUAUAUUGGCGAACGUUUGAGAAAGUUCAUAGUGUUUUGAUUCACAGUCUUUCAAACAACCUGGCAUGGCCGUUAAAAAUUAGUAUUAAAUUGUUCAACGAACAAGA